GUAGGGAAUCUUCCGCAAUGGGCGCAAGCCUGACGGAGCGACGCCGCGUGAGUGAGGAAGGUCUUCGGACUGUAAAACUCUGUUGUGAGGGAAGAACGGCUUGGAGAGGGAAUGCUCUGAGCGUGACGGUACCUCACGAGGAAGCCCCGGCUAACUACGUGCCAGCAGCCGCGGUAAUACGUAGGGGGCGAGCGUUGUCCGGAAUUAUUGGGCGUAAAGGGCGUGUAGGCGGCUUCUUAAGUCCGGUGUGAAAGCCCACGGCUCAACCGUGGAGGGUCACUGGAAACUGGGGAGCUUGAGAGCAGGAGAGGAGAGCGGAAUUCCACGUGUAGCGGUGAAAUGCGUAGAUAUGUGGAGGAACACCAGUGGCGAAGGCGGCUCUCUGGCCUGACUCUGACGCUGAGGCGCGAAAGCGUGGGGAGCAAACAGGAUUAGAUACCCUAGUAGUCC
rnacentral:rRNA from 1 species